CUCAACAGUGGCAUAAUGGGCGG
rnacentral:misc_RNA from 1 species